UGUAUUAGGUUGGUGCAUAAGUAAUUGUGGUUUUUGCCAUAGAAGUCAUGGCAAAAACCACAAUUACUUAUGCACCAACCUAAUAUA
ensembl:miRNA